UCUGAUUUCUAUGAUAGCAACAUCGGCCUAAUCAGUAAUCAGCCAUUGAAAUAGUUGUUGAUACUGAAUUUGAUUGUUCGAUCUUCGUACAUUAAAUUGGAAUAAUAUUGAUAAAAUCAAGACAAACUGUAAACUUAUUCAACUAUAAUCACCAAGAUUCACUGUGAAUUAAUUAGCUUUCCACGCUAUAUCAACGAAAAUGUUACCGUAAACACACAUGCGAAUAUGAUUCCGAGCAUUUCAGUGUAAUUUCAAAUAAUUGUAUAUUUACUUUGUUAGUUAUCGAAUACCUUUAUUCGUCUUAAUGUUGACUUUGUGCCACAAUUAUUUUCGAGUAACAUCCAGCAAUAAGAACAAUAAAGAUGUGCCGCAACGCUUCAAUAAGAGGAAGUUCGCAUUUGGCAUUUUCAUUCUGUUAUUGGUCGUUGUGCUGUGGGUGGUAUCCUCUGAGAUGACAAAAUACUUGUAUGUAGAGAAACAUAUAGAGAGACCAUUCCUUGUCACCUAUGUGAGAAGUUCCUUGCUGUUUAUUUACCUAUUAGUACUAUGUUUUACGCCUCCAACGAGGGAUCCAUGUCAGCCAGCUGAUUACACACAAUUACUUGAACAAACUGGAGAAACUGACGAUGAGAGUUAUUUCAAUGAAUCCACAAAUAGUUUGGUUCAGACUCAGGGAGACUCCACUUUCGUGCCAGUUCGGGCCGGGGAGACGACAGACAGUGAUGAUGCUGCACCAAGAGCUGUACGGUUUAAUAAAGUAGCCGAGGUGCGAGUAAUGUCAGCUGCGAUGGCUAGCGAGGCGUUGCUCGCGCGGCUGUCGUGGGCUGCGUCGGUUCGCGCCACUGAGCACGCACAACGGCGGGCAGCGGCCGCCGCCACUCGCCGACAUCUGAGGCUGGCAUUACUGUUCUGCGUACCUUGGUUCAUAUCGAAUUACCUAUACCGAUUAAGCCUGUUACACACGAGUACGGGCUCAGCCACAAUAUACACGUCGACGGCGGGAGCGCUGGCGCUCUCGGUCGGUGCUAUAUUCGCACAAGUGCCCAACGACCGGUUCACGCUGUCCAAGUGUGUCGCUGUCCUAUUGACUGCCGCCGGACUGGUGGUAUUAGGUAUAUCAGAGAGCCAUCAAACAAAUUGGAUAGCAGUAUUGGCCGCAUUAGGCUCAGCAUUAUGCUAUGCAGUACAUUUACUUUUGUUCCGGCAAGCUUUAAGAAAUGGGGAUGAUAUCAACUCAUCAUUGCUUGUUGGUCUAGUAGGCUGUGCGUGUGGCUGCCUCACGUGGGUGAUAGGCGGCUUACUGGCGGCGACGGGUAUCGAGCGAGCGGAGCUGCCCCCGCCGCGACAGUGGACCUGGCUGCUACUCGACGCCGCGUUGGGACCGCUGCUUAUUGAUUCGCUCUGGUUGUGGGGCAAAUCCCUGACGUCUCCUCAAGCGGCGACGGGUAUCCUGGGCCUGGCGGUGCCGCUGUCGGUGUGCGUGGAGGCGUGGCGCGGCGGCGGCGCGUGGCAGGCGCUGGCGGCGGCGCUGGCGGGCGCGGGCUGGGCCGCCGCCGCCGCGCCGCUGCCGCAGCACUGCUUCACCUGCCUCACCGAGCGGCUGCGGGCUGCUGAGGGGUUCACGUCAGUACACUUGUGUAUAGUCCUACUGUAGCUGUGGCGGCGCUGGCGGGCGCGGGCUGGGCCGCCGCCGCCGCGCCGCUGCCGCAGCACUGCUUCACCUGCCUCACCGAGCGGCUGCGGGCUGCUGAGGGUUCACGUCAGUACACUUGUGUAUAGUCCUACUGUAGCUGUGGCGGCGCUGGCGGGCGCGGGCUGGGCCGCCGCCGCCGCCCGCUGCCGCAGCACUGCUUCACCUGCCUCACCGAGCGGCUGCGGGCUGCUGAGGGUUCACGUCAGUACACUUGUGUAUAGUCCUACUGUAGCUGUGGCGGCGCUGGCGGGCGCGGGCUGGGCCGCCGCCGCCGCGCCGCUGCCGCAGCACUGCUUCACCUGCCUCACCGAGCGGCUGCGGGCUGCUGAGGGGUUCACGUCAGUACACUUGUGUAUAGUCCUACUGUAGCUGUGGCGGCGCUGGCGGGCGCGGGCUGGGCCGCCGCCGCCGCGCCGCUGCCGCAGCACUGCUUCACCUGCCUCACCGAGCGGCUGCGGGCUGCUGAGGGGUUCACGGUAAUACGAAACAUCCCGGACUUAGACGAGCAGUCAGAAGCUCUGAUGUCGUCGGACGAGCCCACGUAGCGCCUCCACCGUCACUCCUGCCACGAGAGGAACCACUGCUAAGUCUGAGCCGAAUCCGUACCGGCUACACAAAUAAUGCCUGCUGACCUACCUACACCGCUGACACUACAUGACGACAAGGUUAAACAAAAACAAGUCUGUCUUUUAAGUAAGAUAAAAAUAUUGAACACAUAUGUUUUUUGUUUUAAUAAAAAAUGAUAAGAUAGGGGCCAUAGUUUUCGUUUAUGAAAUGACAAAAAAUUUGAACACGCUGUAUCUUACUAGUUUGCGGGGGUAAAUGAAAGAAUAGUGUCGAAUAUUUUUGGUUUAUCUAAAAGAUUGACUUACUUUUUUGUCGUCAUACCUACUGCAUCAUAGCGUGAUCGUCAUCGCUGUCACUCUAUGUGCAGUUUGAUACUACCAAUGCAAGAUUGACGGUUUACGUAGACAGCAGGCCAACUAGACAUAAGUAAGACACUGACUUCAUUCAUUCCGUAUAGUAUACGCAACUAUUUAUUUUUAAGCAUCACGUCUUAUGAACCCCUCGGCACGAGCCGAUGAGAGCCUGUGAUCUAGAUCAAUUAUAUAUUUAGAUUCAGAGCUUUUAAUACCAUAAAUUUUAUCGUAGUGUGAUUGCGCCAGUUUGUAUUAUAAAUUAUUAUAUCUCUUACGGGGUUUGCCGUAUGUUCUGGCACUGCAUAUUUGGUAACGAGUAGCUAGUCGGGUGUUAACUUAUAUAAUAAAUGCACCCUGAAGUAUUUGUGUGGUCACACCUUGUUUCGCCUAGUCUAAUUUAUAAUAACUACUAAACUAUUAGGUGUGUUAACAGUUAACUUUGUAAAACUUCCUAAUUUCUAUCCUAAAUUUGAACAUAAUGUGUUAAGAGUUACAAAAAUAAUCAAUAUAAAGAAAUAUCUUAUUUGUAUAAUAUGAUCUAAAUGUUUUCAAAUCUAUACAAAACAUGUUGUAAAUUGUAUAUUAAAACUAACAGUAGCUUUGUGUGAUUAAAAUCUUGUAAUGUACAUCUGAAUAUUGUAAACUGUUUGAAGUAUACUCAACUAUUAACUAUUUUCAUAAGUCUCCUGUACCUAUUGAGUCCAUAUUACAAAGUAACUAAUAAGUGAAACGGAAUACGUUUUUAUUUAUUCACUAGCUGUGCCUUUGAUCUCUGUGUUUACUAGGGGUAGAAAAAAUUAAGGGCUGAAUACACUGACAUAUUGGUUCCAAAACUUUUAUGUAUACCGUACUUAAUUGAUAUUGGUCUUAGCUAUUAAUAUUUUAUAUAUUGUGCAUUUAUUGGACGAUCAAAUUAUGAAUUGGAAUUAAUAUAUUAAUUUGUUGUUGUUUUGUAGUGUUGCCACCUUAUUAUCUUGUUGCUUUUACUUGAAUUCGAAAUUCUUUCGUCUUGUUUUCUUGUUGAUUUCUUUUCUUACUGUAGUAACAAUCAAUAGUGAAUUGAAAUGUUUUUGAAGUGGUUGAAAUAAUGUCUUUUAAAUUGUUUGCAUGAUUCAAUAAUAAUUUUGACAUUUAUGAUUAUGAUGAUUAUGAACUAUGUAAAUAGAUAAACACUAUGUAAUUAUAUAUUAUACUAUCUACCUGUUGUAUAUUGUGUUAUGAUUAUAAUUGACACAGUAUUAUGUAAGUGAAUUAUUUUGUGUUAUUAAAGUAGUAGCAAUAGAUUUUAUAUACAUAUUACAA